UCCGUAGGGACCAAGCGUUGUUCGGAUUUACUGGGCGUAAAGGGCGCGUAGGCGGCAUGACAAGUCACUUGUGAAAUCUCCGGGCUUAACUCGGAACGGUCAAGUGAUACUGUCGCGCUAGAGUGCGGAAGGGGCAAUCAGAAUUCUUGGUGUAGCGGUGAAAUGCGUAGAUAUCAGGAGGAACACCUGUGGGGUAGACGGCUUACUGGACCGCAACUGACGCUGAGACACGAAAGCGUGGGUAGCAAACAGG
rnacentral:rRNA from 1 species